UACGUAGGGGGCGAGCGUUGUCCGGAAUCAUUGGGCGUAAAGCGCGUGUAGGCGGCUCGGCAAGUCUGGUGUGAAAACUGGAGGCUCAACCUCCAGCCUGCAGUGGGUACGGGCAGACUAGAGUGCGGUAGGGGAGAUUGGAAUUCCUGGUGUAGCGGUGGAAUGCGCAGAUAUCAGGAGGAACACCGAUGGCGAAGGCAGAUCUCUGGGCCGUAACUGACGCUGAGGAGCGAAAGCGUGGGGAGCGAUCCGG
rnacentral:rRNA from 1 species